CCGCUGCCUCCGGAGAGCCCGCGGUUGUGAGCGAACGCCGUCAUCCCCGCUGUACGGGAAGGGCACUGAGGCGAUGUGACACAUCUGUCCGCUGCUCUGGCAGCGCCUGGGCGGCCCUGAAAGCAGAUCGGCCGCUCAGGACCUCUCCUGGGUGUACUGACAGCGGCAUUCACAGCGCUGCCCGGUCCCUGGAGGCAUCCAAGGGUAACACGGAGGAGAAUUCCCUCUUCUCCUCCACUGACAAAGCAGCAUGUGGGCAGAGCAGGCUCGAACUAAUCUGUAUGCAGGAGGAAACAGAAGGCAGAGGAGCCGCCGUGGAUGUCA
rnacentral:lncRNA from 1 species